rnacentral:rRNA from 1 species
UACAGAGGGGGCAAGCGUUGUUCGGAAUUACUGGGCGUAAAGGGCGCGUAGGCGGCCUUCUAAGUCGAACGUGAAAUCCCUGGGCUCAACCCAGGAACUGCGUCCGAUACUGGAUGGCUUGAAUCCGGGAGAGGGAUGCAGAAUUCCAGGUGUAGCGGUGAAAUGCGUAGAUAUCUGGAGGAAUACCGGUGGCGAAGGCGGCAUCCUGGACCGGCAUUGACGCUGAGGAGCGAAAGCUAGGGGAGCAAACGGG